CCUGGCUUUCCCCAGCUUGCUGCUCCCACCAUUCCUUCUGUGUGGGGAGACCUGAGACCGCAGCUCCCCCCAGCUAUGUCCCCAGGAAGGCCAGGAAAAGUCAGCAGUUCCAGCAGCCCAGGCUCUUCUUGCCUGUGUCAACAGACACAUUUCAGCCUAAUUAGCUUGCCAGGUUUAUGACACUUCACUCCUUUGGGUUCUUCUGGCUGCUGAAGCACGGGGCAGUGAGAUGGAUGAGGUUUCCCUCCAUGUGUGACAGUCCUUGACUCCCAUUCAUGCUCUGGGGUACAAAUCUGGGGGCUCAGCACCUGCUUUUUGCAGCUGUGAGAGGUGGCUUCAUCCCGUGGAGAAUUCCUGCUCCAUGGCUGGGACAGUGAUGGGGCUGCAGGGCUUUCACUGCUCAGGGUUUUCAGCUGGCUCAGUGCCCCUGCCCCAGGAGUGGAAGGGAUGGAGCAGUGUCCCAGGACUGGGAGGGAUGGAACAGUGUCCCAGAUCUGGCAAGCCUGAAACCCUACAAAAAAAUUUAAAGUGCUUCCCAAGCCCUUUGAUUUUGCCACAAGAAUUGAAGGUGGCAGUCACAGUCAACUGGAUUAAAGAGACUAGUCAGGAAAAAUCCAGGAACUCAACAAAAUUGGAAAUUUGAGAAGAUUUAUGAGUUAUUCAAAAUUUUGCUGAACUUCUUCAUCCUCUCCAAGUCCUGCAGGCCAGGGGGGAUUCCUGAUGAGCCAGAGCCUUUCCCACCAUCCCCAAACUCCCAGGCAUUGCAACAGAGAUGUUCUUUCUCCCUUUCACCUGCUUUCACCCCAGAGCAAAGGAGCUGCAGCCUCCCCGAGCCUUCACCUCCCUGGGCUCGUGCUGGGGCAGUGGUGCCAUCCUGCCUGCUCCUGCUGCUGCUGCUGCUGCUGCUCACAGCCCAGGGAGCAGAAUUCCAGCUGUUUGCAGCCACCUCCCUGCCACGACCCCCCAGUCAGACCAACUCACAGCAACUGCAGUUCCAGGGUCAGUGCAGAACCUGCUCUCGAAGGUCCUUUGUGUCCCCCCAGUGUCCCCACUGAAGCCAGCAGAGCCUUUGGCCCCUAGGCCCUCACAGAGUGAUUCCUCACAUCCUCCCCUCAGCAGGUUGGGGGGCCUUGAGAAACAAGAGGCUUUGGAACCCCCAGGCCCUGCACCCCCUGAGCUUUGCUGCCCUUCCUGCAGCGCUGGCUAACCCAGAGCAAGCCAUGGCCUCUGGACUCCCCCGUUCCUGCCCAACACCAGCAAUAGCAAGGCCUGUUUUCUGUCCCCCAAGCUUGCACAAGGUCUUUGCCCUGUUAAAUCCUAUGCAACCCCCUCUCCUCUCACCAGGACUCUCCAGAUCCCAGCCCAGCCCAUUCUCUCUGCUCUUCUCCCAUGACUGCUGAAUUCUCCCUCCCUGCUGCUCUCAGAGUCCACCUUCAUUUCUAGCAGCUCCAAAAGCAUUCCAAGUCCUGUGCCCUGGGGCUGGGAGGGGGCAGAUGAGGGCUGAGACAGCAGGAACACCUCUUCCAAGUCAUUCUGUGGGAGCUGAGCACUGAACUGGAGGGGGCAAGGCCUGGUGCUGGGGCCCCUCCACACCCCCUUCACCCUCCCGUGCCUUCUGCUCACUGCCAUCCUUCAUCCCCCGUGCCCUGAAGGGAGAAGUUGAGUCCCACCGUGGUGCUGCCCGGACUGUUCUCUUAGCACCUGAACCUCAGGCUUGGCUUGGCCGCUCUCCCUUCAGCCCCCCAAGCCUGAAGGAGUGUUUCCCUGUCUCCCCUGCUCCUCAGCCUCUCCAGCCAGCACCUCUGAGCUGUUUCCCUUGGCAGUGGGGCAUCAGCUGGGGUGGAGGCAGGAGGAUUCGGGAGGUCAGUCCCAUGGCAUGGCUGCCUCUCCCUGCCUUUGGGGCAGGUGGGGGAGGACCUGGUGCUCUGUGCUUGGAUUUUCAGGGCAAUUCAGCCCUUCCUGGGAGCCAGCACUGCCAUGCCUUGGCCUGCAGGACUCCCACAGGAGGGUGGGCUCUGGUUAGGAGGGUGGUGCAGGCUCCAGGUGUUCUGCCAAACCUUUUGUGCCCAUCCUGCAGCCCAGCCCAGGGCAGGAGGCAGUCCUGCCGUGGCUCUCCAUGCUGGUAUUACUGUUCCCCUGGUUUUGUCCAUCUUCUGCUCCCUGGGGCUCUCAGUUCCCACCCUGGCCCAGCCAAGCACCUGCCAUGAUGGAGGGCAAACAGUUUGACACUGGUACAUCUCGGCUCCGCUGUGGCACCAGCACAGGAGAGCAAAGGGGUUUUUUGCUUCCAAACGGGAUGUUCUGGUACCAAGAGCAUCCCCACGCCCUGCACCCCUGGGCUGUGCUUAGGGGAGCCGUGUUGCUCCUCGAGGCAGCAAGCUGGGACACCACAGGUGUGCCAUCCAUGUCUUCCCAAAUCACUUGAACCCACCGGCUGUGGAGCAAACCUUGUAACGUGGGGCCUCUUGGGCAGGGAAGGAGCCGUGGUUACUGUGCCAGGAGAGGGGAGAGGGGAAAGAGGCACCUGGAGAGGCAGGACAGGGAUGAUCCCAACCCCCUGCUGGGGAAUGACCCAGCGGGUGUGGAGGGUUCCUGCUCUUGGGAAUGACCUGUUGGGUGUGGAGGGCUCCAGCUCCUGGGGAAACAAAGCAUUCCUGGGGAAACAAAGCAUUCCUGGGAUGCUCCUUCUCUAUAUUUUUGUAGGAUGGGGGGUGGGAGAGCAGAUGGGAGAUGCCUGCGGAAGUUGUUUAUUUUUAACCCUGGUUGGUUUUGGUUUUUGGCCUUUAAAAAAAAAAAAAAAUGGUCCUUGCUUUUGAUGUUUAUGCUGCCUACCUGUAAAUCCAGAUGUACUUAAGUGGCUGAAAUCCUUGUUCUUAAAUCAGAUACACAUUAUAGUUUUGAACUAUAUAUAUAGUAAAUAUAUAUAUAUAUAUGCCUAACCCAGCAAAAAAAAAAUAAAAAAAUAAAGUAUUUGGGGGUGGGAAAUGCG
ensembl:lncRNA